UACGUAGGGUGCGAGCGUUAAUCGGAAUUACUGGGCGUAAAGCGUGCGCAGGCGGUAAUGUAAGACAGAUGUGAAAUCCCCGGGCUUAACCUGGGACCUGCAUUUGUGACUGCAUUGCUGGAGUGCGGCAGAGGGGGAUGGAAUUCCGCGUGUAGCAGUGAAAUGCGUAGAUAUGCGGAGGAACACCGAUGGCGAAGGCAAUCCCCUGGGCCUGCACUGACGCUCAUGCACGAAAGCGUGGGGAGC
rnacentral:rRNA from 1 species